rnacentral:ncRNA from 1 species
AUCCAUAAAUCUAUCUAAUAAACGCAGCCCUUCCGAAGUCGGGCCUUGACGCAUGUAUUAGCUCUAGAAUUACUACGGUUAUCCAAAUAGUAAUCGAUCACCAAAUAAACUAUAACUGUUUUAAUGAGCCAUUCGCAGUUUCGCCGUUUAAAGCUUAUACUUAGACAUGCAUGGCUUAAUCUUUGAGACAAGCAUAUGACUACUGGCAGGAUCAACCAGGUGAUUGCAUCAAUGCAAUGCUUGCGAGCUUCCGAUUAAAUCCAAGGAUAUAAUCAAAAGUCGUAGCGUGCUCUGAUGGUCACUAAAUAUCGCACGAAGCGAUACCCUUGCGAUCUCAUAUCCAUCAAAGAUGAAUAGUCGAAAGCUACCAUCAGUACGGCGAAGUUCCUAUCAUUGAGACGCAGAAGUCUCAAAGUGUCGGAUUGUUCACCCGCCAAUAGGGAACGUGAGCUGGGUUUAGACCGUCGUGAGACAGGUUAGUUUUACCCUACUGACAAAGUAGAUACUGCGACAGUAGUCGAAGUUAGUACGAGAGGAACACUUCGUCCAGAUACUUGGUUAAUGCCGUUGUCUGAAAAGACAGUACGGCGAAGCUACCAUCUGCUGGAUUACGGCUGAACGCCUCUAAGCCGGAAUCCAUGCUGGAUAAGCAGUGUUGUACACCGUGCUCAAUGCUACAAGAAAAAGGCUAGGUCAAAAUUCAUUGCUGCUUAUAUGGGCAAGCUCCGGGU